UUGUAGUAUUUUUCUAUUUAUAUAAUCUGAUGCAAACAUAUGCACUUAUGUAUGUGAAUAAUUUCAUUUCAAUACUUUUUGGUUCCCAUUCAGUUAUGGUGUCUGACCCAAAAUUUUGCCUAACCAAGGCCUAUCCUCAUAAAAUUAAAAAGGUUGUUCUAAGGCUGAGCACAGUGAAGCAUUCUAUCAUCCCAGCAAAUUGGGGGGCAAAAACUGGGAUCAUGGUUUGAGGCUAGCCUAGGCAAAUAGUAACCCUACUCAACAAAAGCCAGGAACAGUAAUAUAUACCUGUAGUCCCAGUUAUGCUGAAAUCAUAGGUAGGAACGUCAAUGUGGACAAAAGUACAAGAUCCUGUCUGAAAAAUAACUAAAGCAAAAAGAAAUGGGAGUUGUGGCUCAAAGCUGUCCAUAUUUGAUAUAGAAAUGCAUCAACUAUUCUCAAGACUUGGCCCCUUCAAAUCGGGGGAUGAAGGCUGGGAAUAUGGC